AGCUUUGUGCAGUGGCAGUAUCAUGGCCAAUGAGGUUUAUCUGAGGCACAGUUAUUGCCAAUAGGAAAAUGGUACAGAUAAACCUAUUUGCAGGGCAGGAAUAGAGACACAGACAUAGAGAAUGGACAUGUGGGCAUG